rnacentral:rRNA from 1 species
CGCAUUUAGGUGCAGCCUUAAUAGAAGAUAUGUGGGGGUAGAGCACUGUAUGACCUAGGGGGCAUAUAGCUUACUGAAGUCAAGCAAACUACGAAUACCAUAUAUUAAUAAUUAGGAGUGAGUCUAUGGAUGACAAGGUCCGUGGACGAGAGGGAAAGAACCCAGAACAACAGCUAAGGUCCCCAAUUAUGUCUAAGUGGGAAAGGAGGUGGAUAUUCCUAAACAACCAGGAGGUUGGCUUAGA